UACGUAGGAGGCGAGCGUUGUCCGGAGUUACUGGGCGUAAAGGGCUCGUAGGCGGCCAACUAAGUCAUACGUGAAAUCCCUCAGCUUAACUGGGGAACUGCGUGUGAUACUGGAUGGCUUGGAUUUGGGAGAGGGAUGCGGAAUUCCAGGUGUAGCGGUGAAAUGCGUAGAUAUCUGGAGGAACACCGGUGGCGAAGGCGGCAUCCUGGACCAAUAUUGACGCUGAGGAGCGAAAGCUAGGGGAGCAAACGGG
rnacentral:rRNA from 1 species